GCCAAGACUGCACGAUGGCCUCUGCUCUACUAGCCAGGCACUGUCUCAACGUUUCCUCCGCCCCCAAGGCACAGAGCUCACAAGGGCUUCCGCUUAGAUAACCUGAAACCCAAGAAAUGUGAGAACCUGCUCCCCUGGCCUUGGCUUAACUGAGGUUGGUUGUGCUGACCCUGGCAGAGGGCAGAGCAGUAUGGCUCCCUUCUCCCACCACCUCCCCCACCCCUGCCCCCCAGGCAGUCCACAGCUACCGGAAAUGCUCUUUAGCCAAAAUGUGGCUUUUCUCCAGGGGUGGCAAGCUGCAAGCCUGAUUAGCUCCUGAGCCCUCAGCUGGCCUAGGUGUUCAGAAGAUUCUGAGGCUACUGCUUUGAGCAUCAGGGCUGUGGAUUUUGCCAGGAGAAGCCCGGGAAUGCACAGGGGGCUGAAGCCUCUCACCUGGGGUCUCCCCCCAACCCUUAUAUGGGGAGGCCAAGAGAGGGGUGUGAGGCCUCUCCUGAACCCUCCAUCAACACCCUUGUCCCCAUGUAGAUCCUGCCUGGCCACUGCCACCUGCUAUGAUUGUACCUUUUCAGCAAAGUGGCAUUGCAGCGUUGUUCAUGUUCUGAAAAGAACAGGAAUCCAGUGGCAGUGCUCGCUCCUGAGGAAAUGUGCUGUUUCUCUGGAAGACUGCAGAAGCCCCAGACGCAUUUGGCAUGCAAAGCUAAAUCAGCAGAACCGCGGGGCCAGUUCCGUUCGCUGGAAGAAAGAGGCUGCAGAAUGUGGCUUUUCAGUUCCUGGGGCUUCAGGAGCUCCAAAACUCCCUUUCUCCCUGUCCUUGCUGCGCCGCCAUCAAUCAUGGAGAAAACUCGGCCACCUCCUAUUGCAUUGAGGUUUCUGCGUCCUCAGUUUACAAAUCCCCAGUCUGGAGGCAGAAGAAAGCCUUCCUCCUGUUGGGAUGAGGUAAGGAAGGCCAUGAACACAAAGCCAGCCCUGGUCCGCUCUGGUUGAAGCCAUCACAUGUCCAGUCCGUGUUCUUAGACCUACAGCAAGUAACAGCUUUGAAGCCAAACCUGAGUUCAAAUCCAAAUCUUCACAUUUGCGCACUGAGGGGGUGGCUUUCUUCUCUGGACCUCAGUUUCUUCAUGUCUAAAAUGAGGGAGUUGCUGAUUUUGAAGGUCCCGUCCAGUUUUAGAGUUUUAAGACUCAAUACCCAUAAUUACAGCACUCCUCACGGACCUGCUCUGGGCCCGGCCCCGCUCUAAGCUCGGCGCAUGCGCAAAAGCACAAGAAGGUGGCGCACUCUAGUCAGCCCCACUUACAGAUGAGAAAUUCCGGGCUUCAGAGAGGGAAGGGCCUGGCUCUGAGUCACACAGCCAGCAUGGGACAGAGCCGGACGUGGAAGUCAGGCUGUUGGUCUCCGUGUUCCGGCUUUGGCUCCCUCAUUUCACACCCUCCAUUUCUAAAACUCAGAUCCGAGUUGGGAAAGCAAUGAGGACAAAGCUGAUGCCUCCCCGGUUUGGCCAAGAGGCGAAGUGUGCUCUUUCAGAAAUCAGGGUGUCAAGGCCACUGUUCUGACUCAACCAGCACAAUUCCGGAGAAUCCCCCUGAGACCCAAGUCCCCCGUCCACACUGCAAACCACCACCACACGCUAUCUUUUCCAGCCGAACAACAGAAAAUAGGGGAGAACUGGCUGGACGGGCCCGGCCUGCAAGGACAGGAAAGAAAGAGCACCGUGCAAGCCUUCCCUCUAUAAUGUCAGCCUGACCAGUUUCCACCUCUUGCUGGAAGGAGGUGGGUUAGGAGCAGAGGCAGAGAACUGGGCAGGUGUCAGGGAGGGAGAUGUGAUUUUGAUGCUUGUGUCUGGGAGGCCGCGGGUAGCCUGCCCUAAUUUUCUUUCUGUCAUCUUUUGAUUAACCCUGGGCCAGUUUGGGUGGCAUUUUUCAAACCAUCUACGCUUGGCAGGCAGAGUCAAGCCCAGGCUUGCCGCUCACUCUCUGUGAGCAUCAGCUGGGAACUGGCUGUCAUUCAGAGCCUGGGACAACAGGAGGCACACUGGCCGCAGAAGGCUCUGGCAGCCUUGUGCCGGUUAAUCACGCCCGUGCCUCCCAAGCCCAGAAACAGCAGCCUGUCAUGCCAAGCUCAACAGGCACCGUGCAAGGAAGAAUAAUUGCCACAGUCCCUUGAGUGCUCUUUAUUGGCUGGGGCUUUCUGGGGAUCCCUACAUUCAGUCCAGCCUUAGCCCUGUGUGUGUUCCGGACUCUCACUGUUCCCACCUGAGGAUGGGAGACGUUGAAUAACUUCCCAAGGUCACAGAGCCAAACGGGGACCCAAGGUUCCACGCAGUACGAAGGGAAGACUCUCUUGGUCGAAUCCCUCAGCGCUGUCACCUCC